CCUACGGGGCAGCAGUGGGGAAUAUUGCACAAUGGGCGCAAGCCUGAUGCAGCAACGCCGCGUGAGGGACGACGGCCUUCGGGUUGUAAACCUCUUUUAGUAGGGAAGAAGCGAAAGUGACGGUACCUGCAGAAAAAGCACCGGCUAACUACGUGCCAGCAGCCGCGGUAAUACGUAGGGUGCAAGCGUUAUCCGGAAUUAUUGGGCGUAAAGAGCUCGUAGGCGGUUUGUCGCGUCUGCUGUGAAAACUGGAGGCUCAACCUCCAGCCUGCAGUGGGUACGGGCAGACUAGAGUGCGGUAGGGGAGAUUGGAAUUCCUGGUGUAGCGGUGGAAUGCGCAGAUAUCAGGAGGAACACCGAUGGCGAAGGCAGAUCUCUGGGCCGUAACUGACGCUGAGGAGCGAAAGCAUGGGGAGCGAACAGGAUUAGAUACCCUGGUAGUCCAUGCCGUAAACGUUGGGAACUAGAUGUAGGGACCAUUCCACGGUUUCUGUGUCGCNGCUACGACAUACGUUACCCGUCCGUCGGGUAGGUACGGCCGCGACGACGUAAACGUAACGUAAACGGUAAGUUAGUUACGGACGUGAGAGUGCGACGGACGACGACGAGGGAGGAGG
rnacentral:rRNA from 1 species